rnacentral:rRNA from 1 species
GACAUAGGUGGCGAACGUUAUCCGGAAUUAUUGGGCGUAAAGGGUGCGUAGGUGGCGAAGCAAGUUAGCGGUGGGAAAUCAGGGCUCAACCCUGUGGAAGCCGGUAAUACUGUUUUUGCUUGAGGACAGGAGAGGUUAACGGAAUUCCAUGUGUAGGGGGUAAAAUCCUAAGAUAUAUGGAGGAACACCAAAGGCGAAGGCAGUUAACUAUUCUGCUCCUGACACUGAGGCACGAAAGCGUGGGUAGCGAAACGG